GUGUCUGGAUGGGAAAAUCAGUCACAGGCUGAGAGGAAUCUCCACAUUUCCUAUAGGGGGGACCUAUAGCCAUGCUUGUUACUCUGGCCUGCAGGACAUUAUCCCUGGAUUGCUGGUUCCUCCUGCCUGCGUGGACGACCCAUUAUCAGGUCACUGGGUUUGGUGCCGGAUUUCUCAGUGCAUGAAGUGUUCCACAGUGACCUUUGCAGUAGGGCAAUGCAUUCAGCAAAAGGUGGACACAAGCAAUAGGAUCUUUAAGAAUGUCUCGUUCAUCCUAAAAUAUUUCCCUGUAGCUUUUGGCACCUUGGGAUGGCCCAACACAACUGCAUGCCUUUAUAAACACUAAUAAAAAACACUGUAAAAAGCCAACUGGCAACCUCCUUC